rnacentral:lncRNA from 1 species
UUGGAGGUUCCCAGGCUAGGGGUCAAAUCGGAGCUGUAGCCUCUGGCCUACACCACAGCCACAGCAACGCAGGAUCCGAGCUGUGUCUGCAACCUAAACCACAGCUCGUGGCAACGCUGGAUCCUCAACCCACUGAGCAAGGGCAGGGACUGAACCCGCAACCUCAUGGUUCCUAGUCGGAUUCGUUAACCACUGAGCCAUGACGGGAAAUCUGGUAAUAGUGUUCCUUUUAAAAUGUAAACCUAAUUUAGAAGCCAUUGAAUAUUAGGACACUACCAAAUCUCACAUUUUACCAGAGGGCUUUUUUCUCCAUCAUACAGAAAUGCGAGGGAAUGCAACCCCGGAGAAAUAAGCUGUAGUGAACGGUCACAAAGCAGGAACAAAUAUAGUACAGUCUCUAAAGAGAGAGACAGUGGUUAUCUUACUGGGGCCUGGAAAAGCUGUAGGAACUUGGUUUUUUCUGAUUACAGAAAGGUGCAAAUAAUAAAAGAGCACAGAAGAGCGCCCAGGAGAAAGCUGUCUCCUCCUCAGUUCUGCUCCCCCUUCCUGCUGGCUGUUAUUCUUGUAAAUGGGUGGUGCUGGCUGGAAAGGGGACCCAGGAAGGGAUUUGGGGCGCUCCAAGAGACUCUCCGCUGUGGAGAAAUGCUGAAAGAUGUCUGUAGACCGAAAAACUCCAGAUGAAUGUAUUCACAACGCAAUGUCACACAUAUUCUAGAUUGCGUAACACACCCAUCCUUAUUCCCAGAGCAUAAUAAACUUUCACCGUAAGUCCUCCUUUCCCUCUUCUCUCUUCCUCCUUCUCCACCUCCUUCUGUUUUUACUGCAGUUUUGUUACUUAUGCUCAGUGAUUCUUCCUGCCUUUCCUUCCCACAGUGACAUUCCGGGUCUCGCCCAACCACUGAGGUCAUUUCUCCAGUAUUUAAUUUCUAUCUCCUUCACUGAGCUUUCUCUAAUCUUAACCCACAUUGACCUCCCAUUUGAGGAUGAAUACUUAGUUGCACACUACCUUAAAUUGCUCCUUGUUAUUUCAAGUAUUAUUUAAUCUUGUUAGCUGAGCACAUUGGGAAAUACUUUGAAGGUUGAAACCAUAUCCCUAUUUAUUUCUCUGUAUACACUCUAUGUUGAGGGUAUAGAAUCCUCAAAUAACUGUUUCUCAAACAAAUUACAGGUUUCUAAUAAAUAAUGUCUUACUGACUGUCUUCCCUCUGUAUGCUCAGGAAAGUGUAUAUGUUAUUAUACUGCAAAGAAAAGGAUUUAUUAAUGUUCACAAUUUAUCUAGUAUACUUACAUUUGUGUCUUUCCAGGUUGAAAUCUAUCCUUUACUUACUGCUCUAGCCAAAACAAACAAGUGAACAAAAAAAAGUCUCCAAAAGAGGAAAAAAAAAAAAAAACCCACAAAAAAAUAACAACGGUAAUAAAACAAAACCCAAAAACAUAGCAAGAAAAACACACACAAAAAAAUCCAAGCAUUCAUGACAUGAAUAAAAAUAAUACAUUUGUAAGGUCAACAUAGAUAAUUAAGUAUGGAUUAGAACUGGGAAAGAAUUACUGGGCCAAGGCUAUGUUUAUUAUCCUGGAAUUGAAGCAAAUAUUUGAAAUGAAUUAAUACUGGAUAGAGCAGCAUCUGAUUUUUUCCACAUAAUCUAUUUUAGAUCAAGAGUACUUUGUGGCAAGAACAUGAAAUCAGUUGAGACCAGCUGACCUUUGCAAAGAAUUGUGGCUGGUUAACUUCAUAGUUCACUUCAUAUUGUAUUUGAGACAUGAAAGAAAAAUCUUCCAGUCCCCAUCUGCUGAAUUAUUCCCCUCCCCUCCUUCAAAGCCCGUACAGAAAACCACCUCUACCAAAAGCCUUCAAUACAAAUAACCUACUCUGUCAUAUCUGAGCAGUGAAACAGCCCUUUUAACUCUUGAUGAAUUCAAGCAAACAAGAAGACAACACCGUUAAACAUGAUUAAAUAUGCAGCAGAGUCUUUUUUUCUUUUUCCUUUGCUUUAAAAACAUUUCCCCCCCAUCCCGACUGCUCUCUUAGUUUGUCAAAUCAGCUUGAAAUUAAAUGAAUGAUAAGGAGCAACUGAUAUUUUUUGGGUGGGGGGCCUGUGUUAAGAACAUAAACUCUGCAGAGUAUCUGCUAAAAUUAAAAUGUAUCCAGCCAUGUUCUUUUUUAAUUAUAGCUUCUCUCUGGCUAAAACUAAAGCUUUUUCUAAAUGUUUGGUAGCAGACUGCUUCCAGCAUUGGCAUAGCCAUAACUCUCUUGCAAGUUGAGUAUUAUAGAUGUCGCCAAGCUGGAAAUAGGACUGUUAAGAGAGUCCUGUCUUUCUCCAUCAACUGCUGUUCCUCAGUACUUCCCAGGUAGGCUGUAGCCAGAUGAACGCCAACACCAGUACACUCCCAAUAGUUGCCUAAACCACAAAGGCAUUUCAUUCACAUGGUGGAGUUUGAGCUUGGCAUUGUGCAAUGAGCUUUUUUGUCUGUAUCUGUAUUUCUUUGCAUCUGUGAACUUGAACUCUUCUUCCUUUAACUGUUCUGCUCCAUUAUACCUAAUGGAAUGUGCCUACCUCCUCUCUCUAUAACACAAAAUUAUCUUUUUAUUCAAGCCAAUUUUUGAUCUAAUGUAGACAUUGAUCUCUUACUAAGAAUAUUAAUUCCAGGGGGAGGGGGAGGGAGUGGGGUGGUUGGGGAGCUCAGGGUUAAUAGGUACAAACUAUUGCCUUCGGAAUAGAUUAGCAAUGAGAUCCUGCUGUUUAGCACUGGGAACUACGUCUAGUCACUUAUGAUGGCGCAUGAUAAUGUGAGAAAAUAGAAUGUGUACAUGUAUGUGUACAGCAGAAAAAAAAUGUAUUGGAGAAACAACUAUUAAAAAAAAAGAAUAUUAAUUCCCAUUUUUUCCCCCCCAUGGAGAUCUCACCACCCACUGGCCUUGAUUAAGUGGGCUUGUGUGAGAACUGGCUUUUCUUUGUGCACUAUUUCUUGAUCAGUGAACCAGCUGUGUGAGCAAGUAUGGUGUAAGAGACGAACAUUAUUUUAUUUUAUUUUAUUUUUACAUGUUUCUACUUUCACAUAACAUAAUAGGUGGAGUAGAAGGACCGUGCCCUUUGAAGCACCUCCCAUUUUUAUCAUUUUAAGACCAUCAUGUCCUGCUAUGUGACCUUCCCUAACACAUCACUGCUAUUGUCCACCACGCCCUGCAAUUUAUCUCACGUUAUAUAAGUGGUUUGGCAAAAAUCUUUCAUUUCCUUGUGUUUCCUGCAAUCCUCCUCAAUAACUUCAAUACUUACACUUUUGACCCUGAAGAUUCCUUGAUCUGAUUCUUUUUCAUCCCUGACCCUAUAGACCUGUUGCUCCUUUCUUCUUGAUUUUAGCAUCUAAUUUGGAAGUAUUGCUUCCUUUAAUCUCCCAACACCAUCCUGACACCCCACUAUCUUAGGGAUAAAACACAUGAGGCUUGCUCACUUUUGUCUGUUUUAAUAUUUACUCAUCUAUCUCCCUCUCUCUCCCAUCUUCAGUUUAAACUUCAGAUCUCUCUCAAUAUGCUGGACUCCAAACAUUACUAGUGUUUUCAGAAUAUUAAUAUUACAAGCAUUAACUUUUCCUAACAUCUUCACUCUAUUCCAAUCUUCAGAUAUAUGUAUUUUAAAUAAAAACAAGGGCAAAACGAAAGCUCAUUCAUUCAGCAAAUGUUUAUUGAACUGCUGCUCUACAUAGACACUUUUGUAGAUGCUGGGGUGCAAGGAACUAGGAUUCCAUGUAUAAAGACUUUUGUGUACUUGCUGCCUUUUAUAUAUACAUAUUGAAUUUCUUACUUUCUUCAAAAACGUUUCAAAUAUGGUCCUAAAUUCAUUCCUAUACUUUUAUUCUAGCCAUUUCCUUAGAAAUCCCUUACAAUAUGGCUUUGGCUCCAUGGAUACCAUUCUCACAAGGACUAAGAUAAAAUGAUGGCUCUUUUGUCCUGUUAGAAGGUCUUUUCUCCAUCCUCAUUCUCUUUGUUAACCUAACUUUGUCUUAUAUUCUGUUUUCCAUUUUUCCAGGCUCUCAUUUAAUGUCUCAGACUUUUUCUCUCUUCUCUCACCUUAAGUCUGGUUAUCCUGUAAGGUGUUAUAAAUCCUAUAAUGUUUUCUCUUUAUUCAUUCCAUCAAAAAGUAAUUAUAUUUUAAAGAAGAUUUAUCACUGUCGUCAUUUUGUCUUGCUCCCAAAAUUAUAUCCCAACACUGUGGCCUCAUACCCUCUCUGGAGCUGACAUUUCCAAUGGUGUAUCUAGUAUUUCUAUCUGAAUUCUCUGUCACCCUUCAAAUUCAACAUGAUUAUAGCUAUGAUGUAAAUCUUGGACAGGAUGAAUUAUGGAAGGACUGGAACUCAACCUGGAAUGAGGGCUCAUAGACAGUGAACUUUUCUGUACAGCCUUCCUCAGCAACAUCAGUGGGAAAUGUCCAAUGGACAUGAUCAUUCUAUUUUCAGUUCAAGAAAAGCCAAACCAGUAGAUCUAAAACAUUAUCAGAGGCACAAUGCCAGGAAUUAUGGGAAAAGGGUAGACGUGUAGGAAGCUAUUUAAGCUUAGCCAGCUCGCCAUUCAUAGUUGGAUAUAUGAAAAAUAUACAACACAUGAAGAAGAAAGAGACAUAGAAGGCACUUUGAAUUCAGUUACUAGAUGAAAUUCAUGGAACCAUCCCAGAAUAUAAA